rnacentral:siRNA from 1 species
CAGAAUGCUCAAUUAUCUCCA